rnacentral:rRNA from 1 species
UACAGAGGUCUCAAGCGUUGUUCGGAAUUACUGGGCGUAAAGGGUGCGCAGGCCGCGCGGGUAGUCAAAUGUGUAAUCCAGGGGCUCAACCCCUGAACUGCGCUUGAUACUUCCGUGCUAGAACUUUGGAGAGGAGUCUGGAAUUCUCGGUGUAGCAGUGAAAUGCGUGGAUAUCGAGAGGAACACCUAGGGCGAAGGCAAGACUCUGGACAAAUGUUGACGCUCAUGCACGAAGGCUAGGGUAGCGAACGGG